GGAUUAGAUACCCUGGUAGUCCACGCUGUAAACGAUGAGUACUAGCUGUUGGUCCUGGUGUAAAAGGAUUAGUGGCGCAGCUAACGCGCUAAGUACUCCGCCUGGGGACUACGGCCGCAAGGUUAAAACUCAAAGGAAUUGACGGGGACCCGCACAAGCGGUGGAGCAUGUGGUUUAAUUCGAUGCAACGCGAAGAACCUUACCUACCCUUGACAUCCUAAGAAGACGAAAGAGAUUUUGUUGUGCCUUCGGGAACUUAGAGACAGGUGCUGCAUGGCUGUCGUCAGCUCGUGCC
rnacentral:rRNA from 1 species